rnacentral:misc_RNA from 1 species
AACCGUAUCGACCUUUGCUUUCUUUGUCAAAGGGUUGGAUUUGGACGCUUGCGACGGGGUCUGCCCGUCGCUCGUCUUUAAAUGCAUUAGCUCUGGUGCAACCCCGAGGCGACGGUGUGAUAAUAAACGUCUUGCGCCGUUCGGCUGGCUCGUGGUGGUGGGGUUGGCCCUUUAUGCUUAAGCCGUCUUCGGACGAUGCCCUUUCAUGUC